CACUUUCAGUGGGAGAAAGAGGCUGUUGUUAAUACCAACAGUGGAUGAUGUUACCCACAGAAGAAGCACCGGCUAACUCUGUGC
rnacentral:rRNA from 1 species